CCCGCUCGCGUUGGGGCGGCCCAAGAUGGCGGCGCGCUGGAGCAGCGAGAAUGUGGUGGUGGAGUUCCGCGACGCCCAGGCGACUGCGAUGUCAGUGGAUUGCCUGGGACAGCAUGCAGUGCUCUCAGGCCGCCGUUUCCUCUACAUAGUCAACCUGGACGCACCAAACGAGGGACAUCGAAAGAUCUCCCGACAGAGCAAGUGGGACAUAGGGGCAGUGCAGUGGAACCCGCAUGACAGCUAUGCGUACUACUUUGCAGCUUCAAGCAAUCAGCGUGUUGACCUGUAUAAGUGGAAGGAAGGGAAUGGGGAAGUUUGCACAUCACUGCAAGGACACACACGUGUCAUCAGUGACCUGGACUGGGCAGUGUUUGAGCCAGACCUGCUGGUCACCAGUUCUGUUGACACAUACAUCUACAUCUGGGACAUCAAAGACACCAGGAAGCCUACAGUCUCGCUCUCUGCGGUUGCUGGAGCUUCCCAGGUGAAGUGGAACAAGAAAAAUGCCAACUGUUUGGCAACAAGCCAUGAUGGGGAUGUCCGAAUAUGGGACAAAAGGAAACCCAGCACUGCAGUAGAGUACUUGGCAGCUCAUCUCUCUAAAAUCCAUGGUCUGGAUUGGCAUCCUGACAAUGAGUAUACACUGGCCACUUCGAGCCAGGACAACUCUGUCAGGUUCUGGGAUUACCGUCAGCCUCGGAAAUACCUUAAUAUCCUUCCCUGCCAGGUUCCUGUCUGGAAGGCAAGAUACACGCCUUUCAGCAAUGGACUGGUGACGGUGAUGGUCCCCCAACUCCGCCGGGAGAACAGUCUCCUUCUCUGGAAUGUCUUUGACUUGAACACACCUGUCCACACCUUUGUGGGACAUGAUGAUGUGGUGCUGGAAUUUCAGUGGAGGAAGCAGAAAGAAGGUUCUAAAGACUACCAGCUGGUUACGUGGUCCCGUGAUCAGACUCUGCGUAUGUGGCGGAUUGACUCUCAGCUGCAGAGGCUGUGUGCUAAUGAUAUCCUGGAUGGAGUUGAGGACCUCAUUGAUGGGAUUUCUCAUCUGCCAGAGCCAGACAAGACCCUUCACCCCCAGGACUCGGAGCCACAGCAUAACUCUGGACAUGGGGAUGAGGAAGCCUUAAAAGAAGAUUUCCUGAGUGACCCACUUGUGGGAAAGAAAACAGACCAAAUGGGGCUGCCCCAAACACUGCAGCAGGAGUUCUCGCUAAUCAACGUCCAGAUCCGAAAUGUCAAUGUGGAGAUGGAUGCGGUGAGUCGUAGCUGUACGGUGUCAGUGCACUGCGGCAACCACAGAGUCAGGAUGCUGGUGAUGUUCCCUGUCCAGUAUCCCAAUAAUGCUGCACCAUCCUUCCAGUUCAUCAACCCAACUUCAAUCACUGCCUCCAUGAAGGCAAAGCUGCUGAAGAUACUGAAAGACACUUCUCUGCAGAAAGUGAAGCGGAACCAGAGCUGCCUAGAGCCUUGCCUGCGUCAGCUGGUCUCCUGGCUGGAGUCUGUUGUGAACCAAGAGGACAGCACAUCCAGCAAUCCCUACGCUUUGUCCAACUCUGUAACACCCCCCUUGCCCACGUUCGCCCGGGUCUCCAAUGCCUAUGGCUCGUACCAGGACUCUAACAUCCCAUUUCCACGGACUUCUGGAGCCAGGUUCUGUGGUGCAGGGUACCUGGUAUAUUUCACAAGACCCAUGACCAUGCACCGUGCAGUGUCCCCUAUGGAGCCCACACCCAGGUCCCUGUCAGCUUUAUCAGCAUACCAUAGUGGCCUCAUUACUCCAAUGAAGAUCCGCACAGAGACUCCAGGCAAUCUACGUUUGUACAGUGGGAGUCCGACACGCAGCGAGAAGGAGCAGGUCUCCAUUAGCUCCUUCUACUACAAAGAGAGGAUGUCUCCUCGCUCUGCCUGGCGACGUUGGUCCAUACAAGCAAUUAACGACUUCCCGAAAUCAAGGAGGUGGAAAAGCAAACGAGAGGGGACAGAUACCAACAACCGACCCAUUAAAGCCGCCGGGAAAGUUAUUAUCCAAGAUAUUUCCUGCUUGCUGCCUGUCCACAAGCUGCUGGGAGAGCUCUACAUACUAAAUGUGAAUAAUAUCCAGGAGACUUGCCAGAAGAAUGCUGCCUCAGCCUUGGCUGUGGGACGGAGGGAUCUCGUACAGGUUUGGUCACUGGCCAUGGUAGCCACUGAUCUCUGUCUUGGGCCGAAGUCUGACCCAGAUUUGGAGAUACCUUGGGCACAACAUCCAUUUGGACGUCAAUUACUGGAGUCCCUGUGUCAUUUCAGAUUUGGAGGAGUGCCACAGCAUGUAUAUUCACUUCUCAAGCCUGAGGUGCAUCAAAAAGGGAAGCUGCAAGUUUGUUUAUGACAUACAGGAGGCAGCAUUUGGCCUCCCAUCUAGCACCUGCGUCUUCUUUGGCUGACAUUGAUCAAUUGGCCAGGUGCAGUUGGAGCUCUGCUUUCCAGCAUUUACACAAUAUCUGACUUGGGGAUUUUGGUUUCCUGCUCCCCACCUAAAUGAGGGUGUUGGUGCAGCUGCUUUUUCCACCUUCAGAUCCGCUGUUGCCAUAUAAACAUUAGGGAAACCAUUCCACUGGUCUCAAAGCUAAGUAUUAGCUGCAGAUGUCUUCCUGCCAUUGAAUCUGUUCAGGAGAGGCAUAAUUAGUAAUUGAUAUUCAGUAUACCCUAUUUGGAGGCACAGCAUUUGUGAGAUGUACUUUGGCAUUACUGUUGCUUGACCUAGCUCUUUCAUGCUGCAUGGUAGUGAUGGGAGGGGAGCACAGUCUUCAGAGCAAACCAGAAACUUCACAGCCACCAGGAAAACCUGUGGUCCACAAGGCAAAACCCCACCACAGGUUUUCUCAGAAAGACUUUGUAGCUGGGGGUGAGUCUAAUGACUGCAGCUUUACAUCCUGUUAAAAUCAGUUCUGUGGAUGUUCCUGAAGCUGCAUGAACUUGGGAUAAUCAGGCCAUGAGUAUUGCUGGAUUCCCAGAGCUUCCAUCUUUCCCUGGCCUGUGAGUGUGCUCAGGAGGAGGACUGGCUCCUCAAUAACAGAAUGGAAAGAAAACCCAGUCCUGCAGAGCACAUAUGCCUCCUCUGGGCAGUAAUGUGUACCAAAUUGGUUUAGGCAACAGCCUCAGAAUUAGUUGCCCUGCAGUCUGAAUGCUUUUGCCACUGAAUUCUGCCUAGUCCCACAGUGUCUGUCCUUCUCAUUUCACAGGCUGGCUCAUUACUCACAGCUCCACGAUGUGCAGACCCUGGCCAUGCUCUGCAGUGUGUUUGAAGCCCAGUCCAGGCUACAGGGGUGUCCAAACUCUGGCCCCUUCCCUCCUCGUGCCUCCAACCUGGCCUCCCACAGCCGAUAUCCCAGCUUUACUUCCUCUGGCUCAUGUUCCAGCAUGUCAGAUCCUGGACUUGGCACUGGAGGGUGGAGCAUAGGUAUGGAGACCUCGGUAGGAUAUAGAGGUGUCUCCCUCCCUUCUGGCCUGGAUUUUAGAUGGCUCCUGCGGUGGGGGAAGAAAGGUUGUGAUUGUAAAUGUGCUCUGCUAGAGCGUAUUUCCAGAGUUUGGCCAUUGUGAUGGGACUCCACGGCUGGAAGUGAUCAGGGCUUGCAGUAACCGUGUCAGUGCUCCUGCACUCCUGCCCCUUCUGACUUCUGUAGCAUGCUGUGCCACUGGGCUUUGGAGGAACUGUUGCAAAAGCCCUAGACAUACCCAGCUAGGCCCCUGGAUCUCAGGUUAACCUAGAGCCAAGAGCUUCCACUGCUGCCUUUUCCAGUUGGAGACAAGUAAAAAGACAGACCAGUUAGUGAGUGUUUUGCUUCUAGCCUGGCUAUAGCAGGCACUUGGGGUGACUGCCUCGAUUGAGGCUGUUAUCCAUGCGAACUGCUGCUGGUAUUUUUCUUGUCCUACGUGUGCCUGGACGUGGUUCCCAGGGUUAGCUGCUCCAUCACCUUCCCAGGGAUCGAGGUUGGGCUGACUGCCCUGCAGUUCCCUGGGUCCUCCUCCUUGUCCUUCUUGAAGACAGCAGUGACAUUUGUUUUCUUCCAGUCCUCAGGCACUUCUUCCAGUCACCACAAUCGUUCAGCGAUUAUCAAGAGUGGCUUCACAAUGUCAUCAGCGACCUAAUUCCACGGGGUUCAGAGGGAGGAAAAGCAGUGAUGUGCUUUCUCCUGUCACUGGAAAAACAUCAGCAGUUGGGAAGGCUGUGGUUAUCUCAUGUUCUUGGUGCCAUGAAAUACCCGCAGGCCUAAGGAGGUUUUCUGCUGAGCUGCAAAGGUGUCAAAGACAAAUCGUUCUUAAGGGCUUCAGUGUCAGAGUUGAAGCUGUUGUCUAAUUCCUUGUAUAUACCUGGCCUGGGGCAGCAUCAGCCCUGUUAGCACCAAAGCUAUAACUUUUCAGGGUGAUAUCAGUACAUCUGUGACACGGGGAAGAGCAGAGAAUGGAGCUUAGUGUAGCUGUUGAUGUCUUGUAGCAAUUAUUAGCAGUCUUCUCCCUGCCCCCAGGGCAAUACCUCCCAUAGAAAGGUCUCUUUACAUAACUGCAGCCCUGGUGAUGAGAGUCCUCCCUGUCUAGGAAAGAGGAGCCCAGGUCCGCCAGGGAUAACAUUCCCAAGCAAACUCCAGGGGAUUGAAUGCCUGGUUACUUGCUGUCUAAAGUGGAAAGCAAAAGGGGGUUCCUCCAAGUUAGAUUUCUUUGCCUGAUGAUCUCCGUUCCUGUCCUGUCACCAGAAGAGUAACUUGUCUUGUCCAUGCCAUGGGGCUUGGAACUUUAAGGUCCCUUCCAACCCAAACCAGUCUAGGAUUCGAAGUAUAGAAGAAGCACUUGGCAAGUAGAGGUGGUCACUUAGUUUUCUAAGGCAGUGGUCAUCCAUGUCUCCUUCCCCACCCUGGUUUUGAUGAGGUGAUGCUCAUGAGCACUGUGCUUUCUGAGGUGUGCUCACAACCUUUUGACGCUUGCAGCAAACAAAGACACGGAGCAGGCCUCCACUCCCUGGUGUGAGUCUUCUCCGGAUGACUUCCGCUAUGGAAACCUAAUGUAUCCCGAUCAUCGGGAGCGUGAGAAAGACCAGCAUGAGAAGAACAAAAGGCUCCUGGAUCCUGCCAACACUCAGCAAUUUGAUGACUUUAAGAAGUGCUAUGGAGAAAUCCUUUACCGCUGGGGCCUGCGAGAGAAGCGGGCUGAGGUUCUCAAGUUUGUCUCUUGUCCUCCUGAUCCCCACAAAGGAAUUGAGUUUGGCGUGUACUGCAGCCACUGCCGCAGCGAGGUGCGCGGCACCCAGUGUGCCAUCUGCAAGGGCUUCACCUUCCAGUGCGCCAUCUGUCACGUGGCAGUGCGAGGCUCCUCCAAUUUCUGCCUGACAUGCGGACACGGGGGCCACACCAGCCAUAUGAUGGAGUGGUUUCGCACCCAGGAGGUGUGCCCCACGGGCUGUGGGUGCCACUGCCUGCUCGAGAGCACCUUCUGAGCAGGGCUGACAUCCCAUGAACUGCACUUACUCUUAAUUCCCAAACCACGGUGAAUCAGCUCUGCUCCACAGUGUGUCUGGAGGAAAUGCCACAGGAUGUCCUGGCGAUGCGCUGCAGUGAUGUUUACCAGUGCUUCCAAUAUUCCUACACUUGUUGCUUUCAGACUGAUUUGACCAAAUUCCCUGUGUCCAUUGCUGGCAAUGGAUGCCAGACCAGAAAAAAUUGCUCCCUCCUGCAAAAGGGUGUGUGAAUAUUUGCUAGUCUCCAUGGGGAUAAAGAGGUGUUAAAAAGCUUCUUUGGAAAGGGCUCUUAUGGCAGAGCCAAACUUGCUUCAGCUAUGUAGUGUCUUUACAGGGGCUCCAAGGGAGCCAAAUAGUUAAGGCAGAAAUAAUUCACAAGCAACAGUGAGCUCUAAAGGCGAACUGUAAACUGCUCUUAGAGAGCAAACAGUCCAUAGGACUGUGCUGAGAGUUACUUUAGGAAGCAACAAGGGGUUUUUUUGAAUGGCUGUUUACAUUUAUUAGAUUACCCCAUAAAGCAAGAGAAUGAAAUGACGUUUUUCAGGAUUACUUCCUAAAUAGCUUCUCCCUCACGGGUCUGUACCUGUGGCUGAUGUGAAAAGCCCCACUGUGUGCCCAGAGUCACUGGGAUUAGUUCCUUUCUUCCAGCAGUUUCUUCCUGUUGCUCUUAAAGUGUCUCCAUCUCCUGCUCUGACCUGGUGAUAUAAUGCACUUUAACUUGCCUGUCCCUGCCUUGUCAGUGACGCUGCCUGUUGAGUUUGGGAUUCAUGCAGCAUUCCCAUAGGUGGUGGCACCUGAGGUAGUUUCAGAAAGCCUUUGCUUCCCUACCAAGCUUGCUCCAUGCAACUCCUUUUGACUGUUUUCUCCAGGCUCUAUGGGGAAAAUCUAUGAAUAAGUUGAGAUCUGCUGAUGGUGUGCUUGAGUGACAAGGCUCCUGAGCUGGGGAGCAGUUUUGAGGGGAAAAGGGGUUUUGGAAGGGUGGUGGGAUUCACAGAGGCAAAAGGUUUGUGCCUUUUCUCCCUGUGGAGCUUCAAUAGCAGAAUGUAUCAGAUUGAUCCGUCUGUUUGGGGCUGUGCCUCUGGGCACUGCCAUCCUGGGGACGCUGCUGUGCGGUUGUGUGCAUGCCCCACACACCUUGAGCUCCCCUGAGCAGGCUUCAGCCUGAGCUUUGGCCUUGGGCAAAUGUGUGGUGAGGGCUGAGGCCGCUGGAGUUACCCCCCAUGCCAUGCCAGCGCUGAUCCCUUUUUCCUGUGCUUGCCUGCUGGGCAGGGCCACGUGCCGUGCCUGCUCCCAGCCUUUGUGCCAGCUUUGCUGUGGAAUAAACAGAGGGGUGUAUCUGAAAACAUUAAACCAUUAAAGUUAUUUUUUUAAGUGCU